GGAAGGCACACACUACAUCCUCGAAUCCCCCCCCCCCCCCCUUUUUAAAAGCAUAAUCUCAGAUAAAGCAUUAACAAGACAAGAACUGACUCUAAUUGAUCAGCCAGCCAGGACAGGAAUACCCAGGAAAAUGUAUCACUUCGGUUCCAGCUGUAGCUAUUUUAGCCGAUUGGGCUGUCAGAGAUUCACACAGACAGCACAGCCGAGCCAUUAGCGUAUAUAAAUAAUGUACAGCCCUUUUUCUGUGCUACUCAGCUAAGUGCCUGCAAACCUUGGGCUCCCCGUGUCAGGUAUUCAAUAGAUUAGCGCGAGAUUUAUUUUAAGUCCAUAAAGCACGGUGUUCUUGACAGCACCGGGAGGGGAUUGAGUGUUACACGCAACGUGCAUCUGAACAUCUUCAUUUGUAUCUCGCGAUGGAGAGACGGGGCUGAGACAGCGACCGUGUCAGACGCGAAGAGAAGAUAACCGUUUCCCCCCCGCCUGGAGUGUGGAAAACAGGCCUCGCCACGGCUCGGAUUAGUUACAGGGAGCUCGCACAAGCCGGCGAAUGAAGGGAAGAUCCCAGGAUCCACCGGUGCGCUCGUCGCCAUGGACACAAGGGUUUUCCGUUUUAUUUUAUUUCAUUUGUUUUGCCGUGAAGGCAGGGGCCUCCUCCUUGCUGUUUUCGGAAAAUCGGAAGCGAAAAAUCAGAUGUUUUGGACGUUAAGAAGACACAUUACAUUCAAACCAAACAGAAUGACUGUUCUUCACUUGGCAGUUGAGACGGAAUGGUUGCAAAUGGGGGGGAAAAAAAGCUUUACAUCAGUGUUCAAAUUCACUUCGUGUACUUUUGAAAUAAAUCUCUGUGUCUCUGUAAAUCUCUGUGUAAACUAUAAGAUGGACAGCAGCUGUUAAACUGUGUACCAAUGUAAAUUAAACAUAGUUAUCUCAAAAUGCGAGAGUUCAUUGUCGUAUGUAUUUCACUGUAGCCUACCUGAUAUUUGUGGAGACAUGAUGAUAUCAUUGUUUACAUUUAAUACAAAAUAAUUU